CUCCACCGCUGCUCCUUCCCUUCGGCUGCCUCUAGCGCCGCACGCGCACGCAGCCACCCUCUCCUCUCGAUCUGUCUCCCUCACCCUCUCCCUCGUUCCCCUGCUUGCGCCUGCCGCCUGAUGCCUGCUGCGCCUCGAUCCCCGGUCGCCAAAGACCUCGAGCCCGAGGGCCUCGCCGACCACCAUCACCUCCAGGAAGCCCUGAGGAGCUGCGCUCGUCCCCGACGCCAGCACGCUCGCAACCGCCAUGGAUCCCGCGCCCGAGCAGAGGAGGCUGCGUCCUCGAGCUCCUUCUGGUUCCCGUGCCUCCGACAACCAGUGCCUGGCGGCGAGCGCCCCGUCUAACAAAGGUGCCCCGCCAGGAUCUCCGAGCCGCUACAACGCCCUCGUCUCGUCUCCCUCUCUUCUCCUGCACCUCGUUCCCGGCGCCGAAAACAUUGCGGCCGCGCCAUGGCCUCCCUCCUCCCAUGCCCUGCUUCUCGCCGGUGACCAUGAUCAGCCUCGACCACCUGCGACCCUUCCUCCACUAAACGUCCCCGGACAGGAGCAAUUUUGAACUACAAAGUACCCUUGGAUUCGUCAAGACCGCCAAGUGCCACAACCCGCAAGACCAACGACGCCCGAACGAGUGCUCCCGACCGAGACAUUUGUGCUGCUACGUUUUGGACACACCAAGUCCCUCGGGUCGGAUGCGUCAAUACCGCCCCGGUUGUUGCGAAGUACCACGAUGCCCGGAGUCCUCGGACCCGUCAAAUUCCACUAUGAGAUGUACAACUACCGGCGACUCCGAAGACCUCGGAUUCACCAAGUUCUCACGACGACUUAAGUGUACCCCAUCGGAUCGCCAAGUUCGGUUACCGUCGCAACCAUGUACAACUACUUCCACGAUGAUACGAGAACAACUACCACUGUUGAAGGCUAUUGAGUGAACAAA